UAAAUUUCCCUAAAGCCACACAACAAACCGUACACAGGAUAACCAGGACCUUCUGAUCAGAUUAACUUAAAUACAUCCCACGGUCUAUAUUACGCCAAAGAUUUGUCAUUCAGAUCAACGUCUCGGAUGCAAUGUUCUGCCGAGCAGACGCCGUCGUCUGCCAAUCGUGGAAGCGCUUCGUGUCACCCAAUCCCGGCGGCCUCGCCCGCAGCUCCUGUUUUUUGGAUCGUGACUUCUUUCUCUAGGCGCCAGAUAGAGAAACUUGAGCGCUCCUUCCUUCCCCUCCUGCCGUGCGCUUCCCACUGAUCCGCCCCCGCGUCGACCCCGUCUCCGGUCGAUGGUCGUGCUCCUGCAAGCCGCCGCCGACCUCCUAUGCCGGUCAGCCGUGCCCAACUCCCCUCCUCCUCCCUUCUCUCCCCCUCUCCUCACUAAUCUCUCCUCUCUCUUCGUUCCCACGAUGCAGAACGCCAUGGCCAUGGACCAAAGCUCCGCUGGUCCCUCCCUCGCGACUGCCAGUCUUCCUCCCGACCAGAUCGACGACGGCGAUGACCGGAUCUGCCCCGCUGCCGUUCGUUUCCAAGGGACGUCCGCAGAUGGGGUUUCUUCCUCUCAGCGUCCACCACUUGCGGGCUCACCGGUGAUUGGACCUGCUCAGCAUGCAGGAUUGCGUGCUUCCUGGCGAAGUGGUCGUGUCUUGCCCGACGCGCCCUCGGCAGUCGAGUCUUUUUCCACGGUGCCCCAUCCUCCAGUAGCUCUGUCGCCAUUUGCACCACCAUGCGCCACUGCCCGCUCGCGUGAACCAUCCAGCCAUCCUCCCUGGCGCUGCAAUCUGUGAGUAUGUUGGUGCAUUGCCGAGGACUGGAGAGAAAAGGUCAGGGUCUGAUAUGCAUAUGCCAUCACUUCAUGUUGAGAACAAUUCCGAGGCACCAUCGGCACCGGAGUACUGCAUCGAUGCUGGAUCCGUUGGAAGUUUCGCAAGGUUCAUAAACCACAGCUGCAACCCUAACCUCUUUGCCCAGUGUGUCCUAACCAAUCACCACGACAUCAAGCUAGAAAAGGUGAUGCUUUUUGCUGCCGACACGGUACUUCCACUUCAGCGCGUUAUUUUUGUGUGUAGGGUAGACGGCAUGCUGGACACGCUAAGUAUAGUUCGUAAAUGAAGUUUGUCUGGGUGACAUGCCUGUGGGUCACGAUGGCAUGACAUUUUGUGAACAACUGGUUCAUAUAAGUUGAUGGAAGAUUUAAUCGAUCUUUAGACAUUUACAUGGUCAGCAUCCUGCUUUUGAUGUACCUCUGUUCAUAUUUCAGCAUAUUUGUUCUUUUUAUUACCAGGUAGCACCUAACGUCGACAACUGCGAUGUCAGGAACUCCCUCACAAUUGCCGAAUAUGUCGCUGAAAUUACAACUUCUACAGACAGACCAAGGAGUUGAGUUGUGAGGCCCCCACCUACAUGACACACCAAACUGAUAUCAAUGAGAAAAGGCGUAGUAUUCCCAUUGACUGGUUGACUGAGGUGCAAUACAAGCUUGAGCUACUAGGUGAAACACUAUUCCUUGCUGUCAACAUCAUUGAUAGAUCAAUGCAUAGAAAAACAUGUCUCGAGUUUUCUCUUGAAUGAAACCUGCAAGUUUCUCAACUAUUUAGUGAAGCUUACCUUGAAAAGAACUAUAAAUACUACAGGAAGGAGAGCAAGACAAUGACAGUUCGUUGGAAUAUGGAUUUUUAGAGGAUAUUUAUGGGUUCAAACCUCUGUAAUUACAUAUUACUUUCCUUGCUGAUGCUAUUGCUCAUGUUAUAAAACUGUCCUACUUCGCACA